CCCACAAAGACCCAUUGUCCCCACACUCAGAGCCAGGCUGCUCCUGUGCAGCUGUCAUAACACGGAUCCACUGGUCCUUCCUCAGACAGUUUUGUUACCAGAUCUGGGUCUCACAUUUGCACUUUAUCUUGCCCCCACUCCAGGCCCUACACGGAGCUCUAGGCAUCCCAGGUCCCCUGCGUCCCAGCUGACAGGCACCUUGGGCUUCUGGAGCCUUCUCUGUGCCCACACCUGUUUUGCUGUGGGAACUUGACCUGGCUUUUCUCCUUGCCUGAGAGUGCUGGAAAUGUCAGACUUGGGGGCAGGGGACACAGAUCACUGCUGUUCCUUUCCUCCGCAUUUCCCUAGUGAAUACAAAGGUUUUGGUUUAAAUUAGAGAUGGUGGACCUUAUAGCUUUGUAAAUACCCCUUGGUCUCCGUCUCUGACCCUUUUCCUUCUUCCUCUUGACACCUGGGCACUCAUCGCUGGGUCCUGAAGCCUAGAGCCAUGUUACCGACUCUCUCCCCGUGCUUCCUGGUGUUAGUAGAAGCAGACACUUUCCUCCAGUGCCCUGUUCUCACUCCAGCCUUUCCAUCCCAGGAUUACACAUGCUAAUUAUGUGCAAAGGGUGUUCAUUUCCUUGUCACAUAACUUCUGUGAGGUCACAACCUCCGGUAGUGAAACUGAGGCAGGAGGAGGCCAGGCGCUGACGCGGGAUCAUGGAGUCACUGGAAGAGCUUGGCCUCCCUCGGGUUCUCCUGGGCCCCAGCUCAGAGUCCUUUCAGAAUUGGAGCUGCUGUGCUCUGCCAUGAGGCCGACUGCCCCGCAGAAGGGCUGCCAUGCAGAGUGCUUGAACCAGCAGGUGCCAAUGACCUCUUUUCUGUCACUCCAGAGUUGGGUAGAAACAAGAUGGUGGGACUCAGUUACCUGAGAAAGGCUUUCUGUUUGCAGAACACCUUCAGCGUCUGGCAGAGCACCAGUCCAGCCUGCAGGGACUGGUGAGAACAGCACAGCGCCGCCUCCUUCCUCUGCCCUUCUCCCUCCCAUCACCCAGUUCCAAAAGUUGUGGAAGAGAGAUCUUUUUGUCAUUUAUAUGACAUCUUCUGGGACUCCUGUGAGUUAGUUGCUCGCUAACUUAAACUGAACAAAUGAUAAUUGCAAAACCGGAGAAAAAUCGGCACUCAAAUUCCUACUUGGUAUAGAACUGUUUAUUAUAACAGUUUCCAGUAGGUGGCAGGAAGGUGUCAUGAAGGGCAGGUGCGGUGAUCCGAUUUGUGCAGUGUCUGUUAGCUGGCAGCGGGCCCACCCUUGGCACCUCUGUUAAAGCUGUCUCCACUGGGCUGGAGCUGCAGCUGGGGGAAGACCACGCUGGGCAUGACCUUGAGGCUCCUGCUGCCUGGUGCCCUGGAGGGAGCGGGUGCAGGGUCCUGCCUUCCACCAGAGCCAGCAGGUGCCCUGGAACGCAGGCCUGGCCGUCGGGACUGCCCUGGUGGCUCCCAAGGCACACGGUUUAGUCCAGGGUCCUUGAACUGUGGCACGUGGGCCGAAUCCAGCCACUGCCUGGUUUUGUUUGGCUGGCAAGGUCACUUCAGCCUGGUCUGAUGCCUCUGUCCCUUGACCUUCUGCCAAUGCCCAGCUGUGAAUCAGUGGUGCCAGUUGCCCAUUGUCUCUUGCUCACCUGCAGAUUCCCACGUGCCCCCUGCUCAGUGUCACUUCCUGGACUCGCUGGUCACCCCCUGUGCUGGGUGCCCCCCUUGUCUCCCCGUCACAGGCCAGCUGUGACAGUCUGUCCUCCGGCAGCUGGACCCAAGCUGCUCAGGCCGCCACCACCUCUGCUCCCCGUGCAUGUGGAGCAUCCCCAAAGGCGCAAGGAGUGAGUUGAAUGUUCAGAAAAAUACACCUGUUCUUUAGCUGAGAAUAUAAUGCAAUAAAGGAGAACUGCAGAUUACAGUCCCCAUUUUCUUCCUGCCACUGGGACUUCCCAGCAGG